UCGCACCUACCGAUUGAAUGGUCCGGCAAGCCCAACGGACUGCCGCUUUUGCUAACCUUCGGGGAAGCUUUGUAGCAGAAAGUUGUGCAAGCCUUACCAUUUAGAGGAAGGUG
rnacentral:rRNA from 1 species